rnacentral:rRNA from 1 species
UAAACGACUCUCGGCAACGGAUAUCUCGGCUCACGCAUCGAUGAAGAACGUAGCAAAAUGCGAUACUUGGUGUGAAUUGCAGAAUCCCGUGAACCAUCGAGUUUUUGAACGCAAGUUGCGCCCGAGGCCUUUUGGUUGAGGGCACGUCUGCCUGGGCGUCACAC